rnacentral:rRNA from 1 species
UACAGAGGUCUCAAGCGUUGUUCGGAUUCAUUGGGCGUAAAGGGUGCGUAGGCGGCGCGGUAAGUCGGGUGUGAAAUCUCGGAGCUUAACUCCGAAACUGCAUUCGAUACUGCCGUGCUUGAGGACUGGAGAGGAGACUGGAAUUUACGGUGUAGCGGUGAAAUGCGUAGAUAUCGUAAGGAAGACCAGUGGCGAAGGCGGCUCUCUGGACAGGUACUGACGCUGAGACGCGAAAGCGUGGGUAGCAAACAGG